rnacentral:sRNA from 1 species
UAUCUCUCCGUACGGGGAAGGAUGAGAAGCUUCGACUAAGGUUCGAUUCGAGCGUCAGCGAGAAAGUGUUGCCGCAGGCAACGACCCGAAGGGCGAAGCGCGCAGCGCUGAGUCAUCCUUCCCCCACCACCA